rnacentral:lncRNA from 1 species
UGGUUGCAUCUUCUAGCUCAUUCGUUGUUCCAUCUCUUAGUCUCCAUAUGUCAUGCUCAUCCUACUUCCUACGUUAUACCAUUCAAUUACCCACCUAUUGGCAGAAUCUUCAUCUCAGCCCUAUAUCAAGUCUCCAUAUGUUAUGCUCAUCCUACUUUCUCCGUUAUACCAUUUAAUUACCCACUCAUCGGUAGAAUCUUCAUCUCAGCCCUAUCAAGCUACAUAUCAAGCAUCCUUGAUUCAAGAAAUUUUGAAUUUUGAAUUUUAAAUUGACUUUUCUAUUUUGAGUUUUGAAUUUCAAAUAGCAUAAAUUUAGGAUUGAUCCUAAAGAUCCAUUUAUUAUUUCUUCUAUCUUCGUAUCAUCCUAGUUACAAUCUUUUGUAUAUUCUCAACUAUAAAUAUACAUGAUUACCUAAUGAGAGCAAGUAGGAAAAAUUUUUCACAAUAUUUUCUUUUCCAUGUAUUCUUCUUCCCACAUGGUACCAAAGCCUUCAACCUUAGCUAUCUCCAUGGCAUCCUCCUCAAACUCCAUGCCUACACUUACCACUCUGCCUUCAAUUAUUGUUUAACUUAUCCAAGAUAUUGUUUAACUUAACCAAGAUAAUUUUAUUAUUUGGAAGGCACGUAUUCAACCUCCCUUAAUAGCCAACCGACUAUGGAAUUUUGUAGAUGGCACAACCUCGCC